rnacentral:lncRNA from 1 species
GGUUUGUUGACCUUAGUCUAUACUUACGGCUUCCCAACUGAGACCAGAAACAGACUCUCCCCUCUGUGCUGCUGGAGGUACGUGAGGUCUGGGCAGAGGCAGGUAUGGAAAUCCACAAACAAUGGAUGCAACUGCAAGUGAGAACAGGCCAUUCGGACUGAAGGUGACCUUGGAGAAGGUUCUGCGAAGCCUGGCUCAUUUCCAGCCGACUGAGGAAAAGCAGGAGACUGUAUCGGUCAACAGCGGAAGUCCUCAGCUCAGCUAGAGACAGUGUUCCAGCUGCAGUCUGUUACCAGUGUUCUUCAGUCCCUCCUUUUCUCUGUGCCAGCACAGACAGACGGAGCUAAGUGACAAGGGUCUGCGCCACCCCAGGUCACAGUCACUUGUGCUCUCACCGCCCGUGUAGAUGGGGAUGCGAGGCAAGAGAGCUCCUGCAGAGGGGGCAUAGCCUUUGGUUCGAGUGGAGAGCUGUUCUUUGAAAUCUUUUCAUGCCAAAGAGAAGGGAUACAACAGAGUGCCGGCCACCAUGUCCACGCUCUCAGAAAGAGGAAUGUUCUGGAAGCAAAGCAUGGCCUGAGUGGCUCUCGAGAUGUGAGCUCAGCU